AGCUUUGUGCAGUGGCAGUAUCGUAGCCAGUGAGGUUUAUCCAAGAUGUGAUUAUUGCUAAUUGAAAACUUUUCCCAAUACCCUGCCAUGACAACUUGAAAUAUAGUUGGCAUUGGCAAUUUUUGACAGUCUCUACAGAGA
rnacentral:snRNA from 1 species